rnacentral:tRNA from 1 species
GGUUGUUUGCCUCGGAGGCCUUUUGUCUUGAAAACAAUUUUUAAGUGUUCGACUCGCUUAACAACCU